ACAGUUACUCGCUGGAAGUGGUGGGAAUCAUAAAAAACAACCAGGACCUUGCAUCCUAGUAUAGAAGCCACAACUGUGGAAGCUUAACAGCCAGGCAAAUGCCCACAAACCACCACCCUCUGCAUUGGAUGCAUAUGUCCCUGACCUCGCAAGUGAAAAAGAGAGGAAGACGGCGACACCUCCAGGCUUCAGACUCAUUAAUCCUGUGAAUCGUGACCCACUCUUAAAACCAAGCUCAUAAGUUAUAAUCAGAGGAAGGAAACGCCUGAGAGAUCUGAAGGUUUUAAUUGUUGUUGAGUGCAGAUGGUUUGGAUUACCGCACAGGAAUGGAGCUCAAGGUUGAAUGAGUUGAAUCCCUACCCCCAAAAGAUAUGAAGUCUUAACCCCUGGUACGUGUGGUUGUGACUUAUUUGGAAAUAGGAUCUUUGCAGAUAUAAACAAGUUAAGAUGAGGUCAGUAGGAUGGACUCUAAUCUAGUACAAUUGAUAUCCUUAUAGGAAGAGGGAAGUUUGGACACAGACACACACAGACAAGAGAAUACCAUGUGACAAAGGCAGAGAUUGGAAUGAUACAGCUGCAAGCCAGGGAUGCCAAGGAUUGCAGGUGAAGAGUCAAGGAAGGAUUCUACCCAGAGUUGCACGGCCUUAUUGACACCUUGAUUUGGGCUUCUAGACUCCAGAAUCAUGACAGAAUAAAUUUAUCUGUGUGGAUGUGUGUGUGUGUGUGUGUGUGUGUGUGUGUGUGUGUGUUUUCCUAAAAAAGAGACAAGGUCUCAUUCUAUCCCCCAGGAUGGAGUGCAGUGUCAUGAUCAUAGCUCACUGCAGCCUCGAUCUCCUGGACUCAAAGCAUCUUCCCACCCCAGCCUCCCAGGAAUCUGGGACUACAGGUGUGAACCACUGUGCCGGCUCUGUUGAUUUAAGCCACCGAGUUUGUGGAACUUUGUUAUGGCAGUUCUAGAAAAU
rnacentral:lncRNA from 1 species